rnacentral:rRNA from 1 species
GACGAACGCUGGCGGCGUGCUUAACACAUGCAAGUCGUGCGGUAAGGCCCUUUCGGGGGUACACGAGCGGCGAACGGGUGAGUAACACGUGAGCAACCUGCCCUUCACUUUGGGAUAACUGCCGGAAACGGUGGCUAAUACCGGAUAUGACUUCCUCACGCAUGUGGGGUGGUGGAAAGCCUUCGGGUGGUGGGGGAUGGGCUCGCGGUCUAUCGGCUUGUUGGGGGGGUGGUGGCCUACCAAGGCUUCGACGGGUAGCCGGCCUGAGGGGGUGACCGGCCACACUGGGACUGAGACACGGCCCAGACUCCUACGGGAGGCAGCAGUGGGGAAUAUUGGACAAUGGGCGAAAGCCUGAUCCAGCAACGCCGCGUGAGGGAUGACGGCCUUCGGGUUGUAAACCUCUUUCGCCUGCGACGAAGCGAGAGUGACGGUAGCAGGUAAAGAAGCACCGGCCAACUACGUG